ACAUGCAGGCUGCGCUGGGGGCCGUGACCUGGAGCCGUGGCCAGGGGGACAGCAUCCUGGAGCCAGAAAUGUCUGACAGCUCAUCCUCAUCUCAUUCUAUGGAUGAGAAAAAAGAGACCGCUGGGGUCGUGGGGACAGGGGUACGUUGCGUGCCUCUGACGCCUUAUCUGAAGACCAGAAUGGCCUCCUGUGACCUGAUGGUGUCUGAUGCCUAGGACAUCCAACUACCCCCAAGAAGUCUUUUCACCCAGAACAUAUAAUCCCCCAGCCUUGGCACCAUAACUUA
ensembl:lncRNA novel transcript, antisense to AXL